rnacentral:rRNA from 1 species
ACGACUCUCAGCAACGGAUAUCUGGGCUCUCGUGUCAAUGAAAAACGUAGCGAAAUGCGAUACUUGGUGUAAAUUACAGAAUCCCAUGAACCAUCGAGUCUUUGAAUGCAAGUUGCGCCUGAAGCCAUUUGGCCGAGGACACAUUUGUCUGGCCGUCACGCAUUGCGUCGCCCCCCUCCCCCCGCACGCCGCAAGGCUGAGCAGAGGUAGAAGCUGGCCUCGCGUGCGCCCCGAGCUCGCGGCCGGCCUAAAUGCGAGUCCACAUCGACGGACAUCGCUGCAAGUGGUUGUUGAAACUCAACUCUCUCUUGUUGUCAUGGCUCCAGCCCGUCGCGGGUUUUGACUCCCUGAACCUCACUGCGCCUUACCAGUUGCUCCAACCGCGACCCCAGGUCAGUUGAGAUUACCCAUUGAGUUUAAGUAUAUCAAUAAGUGGAGGAAAAGAAUCUUAGAAGGAUUCCCCUAGUAACGGCUAGCGAACCGGGAACAACCCAACCAUAGAAUCGAGCAGCUCCGUCGUCUGAAUUGUAGCCUAGAGAAGCAUCCUCAGCGGCGGACCAGGCCUAAGUCCCCUAGAAGGGGGCGCCGAAGAGGGUGAGAGCCUUGUCGUGCCCGGACCCUGUCGCACCACGAUGCGCUGUCUACGAGCCGGAUUGUUUGGGAAUGCUGCCCAAAUUGGGCGGUGAAUUCUGUCCAAGGCUAAAUACUGGCGAGAGACCGAUAAUGAACAAGUAUCGUGAGGGAAAGAUUAAAAGGACUUUGAAAAGAGAGUCAAAGAGUUCUUGAAAUUGUCGGGAAGGAAGCGGAUGGGAGCUGUCUAUGCACCCCGAUCGGAUGUGGAACGGUGACGAUUCGGUCCGCCGAUCGACUCGGGGCAUGGACCAGUGUGGAUUUGGGGGGGCCAAAGCCCGGGCUCUCGAUACACCCGUGGAACACCGUCUCCCUGAUUGUGGAAGGCAGCGCGCAUCUCCGGCGUGCUUUGGCAUCUGUGCGCUCCAAAAACUGGCCUGUGGGCUCCCUAUUCAACCCGUCUUGAAACACGGACCAAGAGGUCUGACAUGUGUGCGAGUCAACGGGCGAGUAAAACCAUAAGGCGUAAGGAAGCUGAUUGGUGGGAUCCCCCUGAGGGGUGCACCGCCAAUCGAACUUGAUCUUCUGAGAAGGGUUCGAGUGUGAGCAUGCCUGUCGGGACCCAAAUAAUGGUGAACUAUGCCUGAGCGGGGCAUAUCCAGAGGAAACUAUGGUGGAGGCCCGCAGCGAUACUGAUGUGCAAAUCAUUUGUCUUACUUGGGUAUAGGGGAGAAAGACUAAUCAAACCGUCUAGUAGCUGGUUCCCUCAGAAGUUUCCCUUAGGAUAGCUUGAUCUUGGGGGAGCAACGACCUCAACCUAUUCUCAAACAUUAAAUAGGUAGGAUGGUGCGACUACUUUGUUGAGCCGCGCCACGGAAUCAAGAGCUCCAAGUGGGCCGUUUUUGGUAAGCAGAACUGGCGAUGUGGGAUGAUCCGGAAGCCGAGUUACAGUGCCAAACUUUGCGCUAACCUACAUCCCACAAAUGGUGUUGGUCGAUUAACACAGCAGGACGAUGGUCAUGGAAGUCGAAAUCCGCUAAAAAUGGUGUAACAACUCACAUGCCGAAUCAACUAGCCCCGAAAAAUGGAUGGCGCUUAGGCGCGCGACCUACACCCGACCGACGGAGCAAGUGCAAGGCCCCGAUGAGUAGGAGGGCGCGGUGGGUCGGCAAUCGUCGGGCUUGGCAUGCCAUCAUAGCCCUUGGACAGCACAUACGGUUGGACGACGUCGGGCGUGACAUGCCAUCAUCGCCUUUGGACUAGCUGACAGUCGGACGACAUCGGGCGUCAUAUGCCAUCAUCACCUUUGGACUAGUUGAUACGGUCAGACGACAUCGGGCGUGGCAUGCCAUUUUCUCCUUUGGGGAGCACAGAUGGUCAGACGGAGUUGGGCGUGGCAUGCCAUCAUCGCCCUUGGAUAGCACACAGGGUCGGCCGUCGGGCGUGGCAUGCCAUCAUAGUCCUUGGACAACACAAAUGGUCAGCCGUCGUCGGGCGCAGAAUGCCAUCAUACCCUUGGAAAGCAAACACGAUCAAACGACGUCGGGCGUGGUAUGCAAUCAGCGCCUUUGGACAGCACAUACGGUCGAACAACGUCGGGCGUGGCAUGCCAUCAUGGCCCUUGGACAGCACACACGGUCGAACGACGUCGGGCGUGGCAUGCAAUCAUAGCCCUUGGACGGCAAUCAUGGUCGAACGACGUCGGGCGUUGCAUGCCAUCAUCGCCUUUGGACUAGCGGACACAGUCGGAAAGCAUCGGGCGUGGCAUGCCAUCAUCUCCCUUGGACGGAAAACACGAUCGAACGACGUCGGGCAUGGCAUGCCAUCAGCGGCUUUGGACAGCACACAUGGUCAGACGACGUCGGGUGAGGCAUGCUAUCAUCACCUUUGGGAAGGACAGACGAUCAGACAGCAUCGGGCGUGGCAUGCCAUUUUCGCCCUUAGACAGCACAGACGGUCGGCCGUCGUCGGCCGUGGCAUGCAAUAAUAUUCCUUGGUCAGCACACACGGUCGGACAACGUCGGGCGUGGCAUGCCAUCAUCGCCUUUGGACAGCACAGAUGGUCGCCCGUCGUUGGGCGUGGCAUGCAAUCAUAGCCUUUGGACAGUACACACGGUCAGACAACGUCGGGCGUGGCAUGCCAUCAUCGCCUUUGGACUAGCUGACACGGUCGGACGACAUCAGGCGUCACAUGCCAUCAUCGCCUUUGGACUAGCUGACACGGUAAGACGUUUUCGGGUGUGGCAUGCUGUCUUCGCCGUUGGGCAGCAAAGACGGUCGAACGAUGUCGGGCGUGGCUUGCCAUCAUCUCCCUUGGACACCACUGACGGUCGGCAAUCGUCAGGUGUUGCAUGCCAUCAUAGCCCUUGGACAACACAAACGGUCGGCCGUCGUCAGAUGUGCCUGCACACAACGGUCGGCUGUGGCCUGCCCGCAUAAGUCGUGGCUUGCGCGACAUUGUUUGAGUUCUAGACGAAACAUGCGGAUGUUCAUGCCGUACAUAAAUCAAAGGAUUUUGAAACAACCUUUAUGCAUAUCAAACAUAUUCAUCUACUUUCCAUUAUUUAUUCUCUAACGUUUCCGCCGAACGUGGCUCUUUCGCAUCAUUUUCAUUACUUUUACGGUUCGUACGAUGUUGAAACAUCUUUUAUUUGUGCAAAUAUAUAUCUUAUUAUUAAUUAGACAUGUUUAGAAAUGUUUUUGAGCAUUUUCGUAUUUUUCCGACUUUUAAUCAUUAUUUUAUAAUUUAUUUUUACGCUUUUCAAUUUUUUACGUCUCCUUUUAAGAAUUAAAAUUUAUUAAAUUUUUUAUUUUAAGGUUCCCAUAUUUAU